rnacentral:lncRNA from 1 species
AGCAGUGAAAGGAUUAAUAAUUUUAGAAUGAAUUCAAAGUUUUCCAAUGUUUAUAGCUGCAUACUAGAAAUUGGUAUUUGUUUACUUGACAAAAAGAGGAUUUUUAUUUUAAGUCUUCCCGUCAUGUAUCAAAAAAUGGAUUUCCUGAAAGUUGGCUUUUGAGGCUUGAACUUCUUUUCUUUACACUAUUGAAUCCCAACCAAAAAGAUACACU